rnacentral:rRNA from 1 species
GAUGAACGCUGGCGGCGUGCCUAAUACAUGCAAGUCGAGCGAACAGACGAGGAGCUUGCUCCUCUGACGUUAGCGGCGGACGGGUGAGUAACACGUGGAUAACCUACCUAUAAGACUGGGAUAACUUCGGGAAACCGGAGCUAAUACCGGAUAAUAUAUUGAACCGCAUGGUUCAAUAGUGAAAGACGGUUUUGCUGUCACUUAUAGAUGGAUCCGCGCCGGAUUAGCUAGUUGGUAAGGUAACGGCUUACCAAGGCGACGAUGCGUAGCCGACCUGAGAGGGUGAUCGGCCACACUGGAACUGAGACACGGUCCAGACUCCUACGGGAGGCAGCAGUAGGGAAUCUUCCGCAAUGGGCGAAAGCCUGACGGAGCAACGCCGCGUGAGUGAUGAAGGUCUUCGGAUCGUAAAACUCUGUUAUUAGGGAAGAACAAAUGUGUAAGUAAAUAUGCACGUCUUGACGGUACCUAAUCAGAAAGCCCCGGCUAACUACGUG